rnacentral:rRNA from 1 species
GACGAACGCUGGCGGCGUGCUUAACACAUGCAAGUCGAACGGAAAGGCCCUGCUUUUGUGGGGUGCUCGAGUGGCGAACGGGUGAGUAACACGUGGGUAACCUGCCCUUGACUUUGGGAUAACUUCAGGAAACUGGGGCUAAUACCGGAUAGGAGCUCCUGCUGCAUGGUGGGGGUUGGAAAGUUUCGGCGGUUGGGGAUGGACUCGCGGCUUAUCAGCUUGUUGGUGGGGUAGUGGCUUACCAAGGCUUUGACGGGUAGCCGGCCUGAGAGGGUGACCGGCCACAUCGGGACGGAGAUAAGGCCCAGACUCCUACGGGAGGCAGCAGAGGGGAAUAGUGCACAAGGGGCGGAAGCCAGAUGCAGCAACGCCGCGUGCGGGAUGACGGCAUUCGGGUUGUAAACCGCUUUCGCCUGUGACGAAGCGUGAGUGACGGUAAUGGGUAAAGAAGCACCGGCUAACUACGUG